CAUGCAAGUCGAGCGGAAACGAGUUAACUGAACCUUCGGGGAACGUUAACGGCGUCGAGCGGCGGACGGGUGAGUAAUGCCUGGGAAAUUGCCCUGAUGUGGGGGAUAACCAUUGGAAACGAUGGCUAAUACCGCAUAAUAGCUUCGGCUCAAAGAGGGGGACCUUCGGGCCUCUCGCGUCAGGAUAUGCCCAGGUGGGAUUAGCUAGUUGGUGAGGUAAUGGCUCACCAAGGCGACGAUCCCUAGCUGGUCUGAGAGGAUGAUCAGCCACACUGGAACUGAGACACGGUCCAGACUCCUACGGGAGGCAGCAGUGGGGAAUAUUGCACAAUGGGCGCAAGCCUGAUGCAGCCAUGCCGCGUGUAUGAAGAAGGCCUUCGGGUUGUAAAGUACUUUCAGCAGUGAGGAAGGCGGGGACGUUAAUAGCGGCCUCGUUUGACGUUAGCUGCAGAAGAAGCACCGGCUAACUCCGUGCCAGCAGCCGCGGUAAUACGGAGGGUGCGAGCGUUAAUCGGAAUUACUGGGCGUAAAGCGCAUGCAGGUGGUUUGUUAAGUCAGAUGUGAAAGCCCGGGGCUCAACCUCGGAAUUGCAUUUGAAACUGGCAGACUAGAGUACUGUAGAGGGGGGUAGAAUUUCAGGUGUAGCGGUGAAAUGCGUAGAGAUCUGAAGGAAUACCGGUGGCGAAGGCGGCCCCCUGGACAGAUACUGACACUCAGAUGCGAAAGCGUGGGGAGCAAACAGGAUUAGAUACCCUGGUAGUCCACGCCGUAAACGAUGUCUACUUGGAGGUUGUGGCCUUGAGCCGUGGCUUUCGGAGCUAACGCGUUAAGUAGACCGCCUGGGGAGUACGGUCGCAAGAUUAAAACUCAAAUGAA
rnacentral:rRNA from 1 species